rnacentral:tRNA from 1 species
AUUGUAGCUCAGUGGUAGAGCAUUUGCCUAGCACAUGUGAGGCACUGAGUUCAAUCCUCAGCACCAUA